AGCGGAGUCGUCCCCAUGCAAAAAGCGCAAACAUCCCGAGACGUCCCCGUAAAGUGCCGAGGCGACUCUCUCAGAAAAACAGAAAAAUAAGCAUUCAAACCGUUCAUCCUCAGAGUCGUCCCCGUAAAGCACCGAGUCGACUCCCAACAUCGUCAAAAGUAAAUUCAUAUAGUCGAGACGUCUCGCGUUGAAGCGGAGACGUCUCCGGAGCGCCUGGGACGCGACUGACACACUUUUGCAGGUUUGUUUGAAUUUCAAACGUCUUUUUCUUUGUGUCUAACGGAUCUAUUUGCUUUUUGGGCUAUAAAAGGGAGCUCUUAAGUGCCUUCCAACAACUUCUCACCAACCCAACACAAGAUCAUUCAAGAGAGAAGCAAGAGAAAGAGGUUCAAGGGAGUUAGUGCAUUCAAGUGAAGAAAUCAAGGGCUUUCAAGCUUCCCAACUGAUUUCG
rnacentral:lncRNA from 1 species